rnacentral:tRNA from 1 species
GCCGAUAUAGCUCAAUUGGUAGAGCUACUGAAUCGUAAUCAGUGGGUUGUUGGUUCGAGUCCUGCUAUCGGCACCA